GAGUGUUCCAAAUUUGUGAUAAAAUUAUGAAUUCCACCUUCAUGCUGCGGCAAAUCGACUCCUGUCUAUAUAACAAUGAUAUAUGAUAUCAAUAAUUAGGAAUGAUAAAUAACCAGCCUGGCUCGUCAUACUUCCCACUCUAAAUAUAAAAGAUAAAUUUAAAAUAAUAGAAAAAUGGAAGAUCGAGAAUGAACAAAGACUAUAAAAUUCUUACCAAAAUUUUUUUGUAUAAAUUCUCUAUACUAUUGUCAUCAAAUGGAAGGAAACCACAGAGUAAAGCAUAAAGAAUGACUCCCAUGCUCCAGAUGUCUACUUCUGAACCUAUCCAUAAAAUAAUUAUGACAACUUCUGUUUUUUAAUAAAAAUAGGAAAUAAUUUGAAUUAAAGAUAUUAUUAAGAACCUAAAUAUUUUUUGCCUAAUAUCAAUUCCGGUGCUGCAUAAGUUGGAGAACCACAAGAAGUAUACAAAUGCGAUUGCAUUCCACUUUUUGGUUUCGCGCAUAAACCAAAAUCAAUGAGUUUCAAGUUUUCAUCUUUAUCUAAUAAAACAUUUUCCUAUAAAUAAAUAUUAUUCAUUAUAUUCGACUAUUGAUUGAUAUGUAAAAAAAAAUAUAUAUAUAUAUAAAAACAAACAUACAGGUUUAAGAUCACGAUGAGCAUAUCCAAGGCUAUGCAAAUAUGCUACUGCGGAAACAAUUUGACGAAAAAAUUUGCGAGAUUCUGACUCGGUCAAUCUGUUUCUUUCGACUGUAAAAAUAAUUAAAUUAAUUCUUGUCUCCGAUAAAUCUAUAUUAAAUCAACAUCAAUGAAAUAAAAACAGAUGAACAAUCA